GUAGAUGCUGGAAAAAGGAAGAAGAGUUGUAAAUAGCCCUGAUGGUGCUGGGUAAGCUGGGAAGGGGGUGCCAUAUGUGUUAUGCUCAUGUCAAAUCAGUGUUCUCAGAGCCUUUCAAAAGCAGGUGAUCUGCAAAUGUUUUCGAUCACAUAUCCCUGUCAGUAACUUUUUUUCUGAACACAUAUCACCAAAAUAUAUGAAAUACGGAUUUUGUAUAUUUGUAUGUAUAAAUUACAUGUACCUACAAUUUACUGGAGUUCCUGGGUGGUACAAAUGGUUAACGUGCUUGGGUGCUACCUGGUGCCCUGAAUCCACUCAGAGGCCCUUUGGAAGAAUGGCCUGGCAACCUACUUCUAAAAAAUCAGCCAUGGAAAACCCUAUGGAGCAUGAUUCUACUCUGACGUACAUGGGGUCACCACCGGUUGGUGUUGACUCAACAGCAACUGGUCUGGUUUUGGUUUUACAGCUGGACUAAUUAUAAAACACACAGACCCCAAACAAAUUAAAAAGAGAUGAGAUAAAAAUUAAUAGAAAUUUUAAUAUUUUCUUUAUGUGCCCCUAAAGAUGGUCUUGUACCACUUCGUACACCAGUGAUCUAGAGAAGAUGAUCGUGAGUCUGGGAUGCACACGAGCUACUAGAAUCCUGAGCUGGCCCAGACUGGAUCUGCCGAAGGGCUUGAUAACCAUUACAAAACAAGGGGAUUCCCUUGUGUUCAGAAGUGUCUUCCAGAGCCCCUCAUUAUAACUCUGCUAUCCUGAAGUAUUUUCUAACCACAGCCAUUCAUGUUGAAGACAUGGCCAAGCAGUGUUUCACUUCCUGCACGAAAGAGUCUAGAAAGGGUGAAAAUGACCUUCACUUUGCAUCACAGAUUGUUUGUAGGUAAAUAAUAUAUUCUUAAUUGAACUGUAUUUUAAAUGCAUAAGAAAGCCCGCCAGUUAAAGGAAUUAUGUCUGUUUGUAUUCUUUUAUAAAGUGAAAAGACUGCAAUGUAGACAACUGUUUCUUUUAACUACAUAAGGUGUAAUGGUAAGUACUUACUCAUUUCUGCCAGUUUCUGCUGAAAUUUGGACUCCCCUGGGAGAUGUCUACUGCAGAUUUUAAAAAUGCAAAACAUUUCAUGUUUAUAUAUGUAAAUGAAAAACCCAAAUUUCCAUUAACUAUGGUGCUUUCAAUGAUUUAUGAAAUUUUUAGUUACUUUUAGUAUCAAAGGUUUAUAAACUAAUCAUCUAAAAUAUAAAUGUUACAAAUAUAUGAUUCUAUACACUAUCAGUGGUUUUUAUAAAACACAGUAGUUAACAUUUUUCGAAAACUGGCAUUUUUAAAUUUAAUGUUAAAACUAACAAUGUUAGCAAUAGCUUUUUUUAAAUAUAUGGUCAGGUUUUUAGCAUCUGAUACCUUCACUGAAUUUAGGCAUAGAUGGCGUAUUAUUUGUAUGGUUCUUUUAAGUUCAGGGUACAUUCGUACCUAUGGUUUGAGAAAUCCUCACAACUUGUGAAUAAAAUUGGCCUGAAAGGUACUCGUGGAAACCAGGAGCAGAGCUGAGUCUGGUUCUCCAGAUGACCUGCUGAGCUACUGGGAACAUUCUAACUUGUUCCUACCUUCCAUCUGCUUCAUCUGAUCCUUCAAUAUCAAAGCGUAGUUUUUUCAGUGGUUUAGGAGGGUUGCUUUCUUCGGCAUUUCUUUUGAGCAUACGGUCGCUGUUACACACCAUCUGAUUUAUUUUCUGGAACUUCUCAGAAGUCUAUGAAUUGCAGAGUUAUUUGUUUUAAAUCAUUCAACACGGCCAUUUUGUAGUUAGCAACCCUGCUUUAUAGUUUGAGGUGAGUCAAAAAUCAAGCACAGUAGCAUCGUCAUUUUACUUUUCUGCUUCAUUUGACCAAAUAAGAGAUGAAAAAUCUCAAAAGCAGAGUAACUGCACCUAACUCUGCACCAGUUAAAUGCUUACCCUUUUGAAAUCCUCCUGUCUCUUCCCGUGAGGCUCCUGCUCUUCCUCCAGCAACUCUGACUACUACCCUGGAAGUCUCACUUCUGUCUUUUCAGGACUCACGCACGAAGCCAGGACUACUUCCCAGAUGCAUGCAAAGUUGGAAGAGCUUUCUGGAACCUUGUUUUUAACAGAUUUUUUGUUUUGUUUUGAGGGCAUAGGCAGAACCAGAAGGGAAGGCCACAUGAAUUUGAUAAUAAAUAUUUAAGUCAGUAAGUUUGGGGAUAAUUUAUUAUACAACAAAAAAUAUAAUACAGGCAGUCUUCCCACUCUUGUAAGAAUAUAACCUCUACGGAGGGGUAAUGACCACUGAAUAUGGGCCUGCUGAAUUAGUGACAUUAAUGGAAAGCCAACUAGAGCAGUGAGUUGCCAGCCUAGAGUAACUGUUUCAAAGCUAAGCUUUCCCUUGGAUCUCUCUGGAACAAAGACCAUCACAUAAGCCCUGCCAUUUAUACUGCAGCAGGGUCUCGUGUAACCAAUCUGUAAUCAAUAUACCCAAGAAAGAAUAUCCUAGAAGCCUGACAAGUCUGAGAGUGGAAGGAUAAGCAAAAGUAUAUAUACGUGGAAGGAGAAGGCCAGUACGUAGGGACUGGCUAGUGACAUUUGGAUGUGAUGGUUACACUUUGGAGUAUCUCAAUUCAAAUUGUAUGCAUAAUUGGUGAAUUUCAAAACUGUUUUCUAAAGACACACACAAACAUAUCUUCUAAAUUCUAUGCAGCAUGCCUGGGUGAGGUGUAAACUCAAAUUAUAGAAAUUCUUCAAUUUCUUUUAUAGUUACAAGUGCAUGUCAUUACUUUUCAUACAAAGAAAAUACUCACCCCAAAUGAUUCACCAAUUGAUACCAAGAUUCUGUCAAGUUAAGAUGAAAUACAAAUUAAUUCGUAAUGAAAAUAGUGUAGAAAUGUGUAGAGAUGAACACAUACACAUCAUUCUAAGUAUCAAGAACACCAAAGGAAAAUUUUCCUCUAGCCCAGAAACACUGAAAAACUAUACUCAUUAGGGGCUUAUCCCAUACUAGUGCUAAUACAUUCAUGUACUGAGCUGCUUUCUUAGAUUUUUUAAACAAGAGCUACUUAGAAAUACAGGUCUGCAGAACAUAUUCUGCCAAUGUCCACCUUUAAAGAAGGGAAACCUUUUAAGUUUACCCCUACUUGGUUCUUCAUAAACCAAUGGGUAAGUUAGCAAUUAAAAUUUCACAUUUUCUCUUCUAAAUUCAAGUUACAUUUGAAAGAACUUACAGUAUUCAAUAUUAGAAUUCUAAUUAAUAUCUCUGAUACAUAGUAAAAGCUAUUUAUUACAAAUGGUAGAAUCAGAAAUCUCUACUAGUCCUUGUUUGAACCAUUUAAGUUCUUGAUAAUAAAGCUGAAGAACAGCAUUAGCCUGAUGUAACUCAACUCAGAUCUGGAGCAUAUACACAUGGAACUAGUAGAUACAUGAAUUUUAUUAUCCUCCAAUUCUUUGAUAUGUGGCCAUUCAUUCCAUAUAUAUAUGAUUAACCAGAAUAACUGAAUAUGCUGGAUAAAUAGUGUUAAGACACUCUCUUAAUGCUUCAUCAACAAUUUAUCAGUUAGGGUUUUCAGAAUUUGACUUUUUUGCUAAAGAACCCCAACCCAGAAUUGAUUUCACUAAUAUCAGCAAGAGUUAUAUCAUUAUCUGUAUAAGUGGAUUAAUUAUCAUCGUUAAAAAAUUGCCUAAGUAUACAUUUUCAGCGUGGGACUAUGUAAAUUUAACUAAACAGACAUGGUGUGGCAUCUUAGCACCUUAUAAUGUAAGUUGCAGAUACCAGUACACUGAUACAUGAUUGUAAUACCAAAUAAAGGAUGGUACAGGAACACAUACCAGCAUUUGUACCAUACUGCCAAUUAUUUUUUACCAUGUAUUUUUCUGUAGAGUUUGAAAUUUUAUCAUGAGUGUGAAUGACUUGUAUAAAGGAACACACUCUACAAGUGUUUUCUAAAGGGUUACUAUUUCUCCUUCUCUUUGUUUGCUUUUCUUGCCCAUUAAGUCCGACUGUCUGGGCUGAUCAUUUUUGAGAUGCACAUUAACUAUACUAGCUCAUCUGCCUCCCACUUUAUACAAAUAAAAGUCAGUUUCAAAGAGGCCAUGAUAACAUGUAAUGAGUCAAUUGAGGCACUUCAAAGCCAGACAGCACUUGUGGUUGGAUGUGGGUAAUAAUAUAAUGACUUCUGGUUGCACAGAACCUUUCAUCUGAAAAUUUCAAACAGCUUCACACUCAUCAUUUCCCUGACCCACAGCAUCCUUUUGAAGUAGAGGUGACUUGCCCAAGGUAAUAUAAGGAGACCACAGGUAGAAUCAGGGCUAGAACUCUAACUUAAUUCGUAUCUAUAUUUAAUGACACUGCUUUUUAUAACAAAGCAAAAUGAUCAAAGCCCACAGAAAGAGUUUACAGAAUAUCCAAUAAACUAAAGAAGCAAAAUUCUUAACCAAAACUAAUCUACUUUGUUUAGCAGAUUGGCUAUGUAGAAAAAUAUGAAUGUGUUUUGAAACCUACAACCAAACUGGUUCUCAGACUGUUUAUAAAAGAACAGACCUCAGCAGCCAGGAAAGAUGAUGACUAAAUUUGCAAACCCAUCCAAGUAAACAGAUUAUCUUUCUUGCCCCCAUAACCCUUACCAUGUCACUUAACAUACACAAGCAAAUUGGAGACUAAAGAGUCUAUCCUAUUUUAAACAAAGAAAACUUUAUAUUUUUAUACUUAGCUGAAAAUAAUCCCCUCCUAUUCUCUACCACUUUCCUAAAGAGAAAACACAAACCUUGAUCUUGGAGUCAUUUUUGUUGGAGUUGGCAGGCCUUCUGAAAUUUUAUAUGGACUCUUCAGGGGUGAUAUAUAGAUGUUCCCUCCGGGAAUCCGUAAAGGUGAACUAGAAAACUUAUAAGGGCUUCGAGGAAUGUGAGGUAUUGGUGACAAGGUAGGGGGCUAGAAUCAAAAAAAUAGAUCACUUAUUUAAUAUUUUAGUGCGACCCAUUGCUUUAUAAUCAGAUUUUCCCAAUCAAAAGAUUUCUUGUAACAUACCCUUGUGGAAGCAUACUGCAAAAUAUUUGUUUUCAGUUUCUGCAUGAAGACAGAGUUAUAGAAUACUAUAAUGGAAUCAUAUUCCUCUUCUCUGAUCAAAACACGUUUGAAUGUCUGAGGAAGAAGAGUAAAAAACUUGUUAAAUGAAUUUGUUAAUUUCUUUAGGUUUCUUUUCUAAUAGGUCAUAAUAGUUUUUAAGUAGUGAGAAGCACCAAGUAUUCAGGGAAAUGUAAUCUGAAAAAGGCUUCUUAGGAUUGGAUUAGAGCUGCUGUAACAGAAUGGAAAUGUCACAGAAUCAUCCAGAGCAGCUGCCAGGCAGCAGUGACGGCGCUGGCUGGGAGCAGUGGAGCUGAUGGCUGUCAGACAGGAGCAUCCAGGCUGGCAGGAUGAAAGCAGUACGGGGCUCGAAGGCCAGAACUCAGCAAAAGCCAACGACACUGUCCCUCAGUAUUUACAUCCUCUGGUCUACACUUCCCUGCAGUGCUCCUGCACCCCCACCCCACAAUCUACAGGGGUUCAGGAAGCGUGAAUGACUCCUUCACAAGAAGCAGACACUUAGGAAAAGCAUUCUAUUUUCCUGAGAGGUAGAUUUUACUCAGACUUUAGUUAGGUGAAAGCAUAGGGGCUUUAUACAAUGCCUCUGAUAUAAACAAUUUAAAUGACUAGAUUUAGCAAAUAACUUCAAAUUUACAAAAAAAAAAAAAAAUAAGCUGGUUCAUUUUACUUUUGAAAAAUCCAAAUCAUAAACUGGAAGAAUAACGCAUGACUCACCUGCCACUGGAGAGUAUGAACUGUGUGUCACACCAAGUAUAUUUUACUAUGACUGAUUCUCUGAAGGGAAGGUAAACUGGAAACACCUGUUUCUACUGGACAUUUUUACUACUUAGUUAUUAGGCUGCCUUGACACUGGCUUUUCCUACAAAGUAAUACAAAUAACUUAAAAAAAAAAAAAACUAAUGCCCUAUUACUUAUGUCAAGUUUAUUAUAAAUAUCCUGCUUACUGAAGAGAUAUAGUAUUCCCUAUUAAGUAUAAAAUAUGAAUUUGGAUAGUGAAGAUAUGAAAUAUGAAUUCAAACCUAGCUUUCCAAAUUCCAACGUCGUUACCAAAAACUAUUCAAUAAUAUAAAAGUAAAAAAUCGAUUUGUGAAUUUAUAUGAUAAGGUCAAGAUAUAUGAUCUAACUAAUGACUGAAAUUAUCCAGGUUUAAAAAAAAUUUUUUUACCACGAAGACCACCUACCUCCUGGACAGCGUGAGGAAGGUCCUUGUACGCUGUUACAAUGAUUUUGAAUUUAAGGUCAAUAUUCUUCACUUUGCAAAUGCCAUACAUAGAACACAUCAUGAUCUAGUAAAUAAAUAUGAUGUAAAAAGUCAGAAUUUUAUUACAUGGUAUUGUUCUAGAAAGCACUCUGUUACUUUUCUUUUGGCCUAACAAAAUGGAAAGUUAAAUUCCUACAGGGUUAUCUUUUCCCAUCUCAGAGCUCAGUUUGAAAGUUUAUAUGAGAUGUUUAACACACUGGGUGUAAGAACAAAAUGCAAAUAGCCAACUCUUGAUUAUUCAGAACUGAUCAUCUGGCUUACAAAUCACCUAACUUGGGCUUCUGCUCCCUAAAUGGUCUGCAGAAAAGUUCAAACUGGAAUCAAAUUACUGUAUAACUAGCACGUUCAAAAAAGCCACACGUGAAAAAGGUUCAAAGUAUUUGAAAAAAUACAAAAUAAUAUUGGAGAUACUUAGUCGUAGUGGUGAGAAAGGGGGUGCAGUGACUGGAAGGAGGCAAGAGAGAGUCUUCUGAAUUGUUGAAAAUAUCCUAUUUCUUGAUCUGGGCGCUGGUUACACAGGUGAGCUCAAUUCCCUUUUGCAAAUAAGAUCUUUCAGGUCAUUAAAUACAUAGUUAUUAAAAUAUAAGUUUAAACUCUAAAGUUCUAAUUUGUUAAGAACUAUAGCAAAAACAUAAAUGGUAGCUAACAAGUGAAUAUAUUAAACCAAUCUAGUUUCUCUUUAGAAUUGAAUCUUUUCUUCAAGAAAUCAGUACUUAGUUAACAAAUAAGCAGGAGAAGAAAAGCUGAAAUGCUUCAUUUUCUUACCUGGUCCAAAUGCCUGUCUCUCAUGAGUUCAUACUCAUUUUGCAGGGUGUGCUGGAAAAGGGUCCAGAUGAUGUGUUCUAGCUCUGGGUGGUCAGACAGAAGGCGCGCACACAAGGUAUUAAGGCGGAGAUAUGCUAGCCUGUAUACUGUGGAGAUAAGAGAAACUGGUGAUGCCUGCUGUUCAUUUCUAAUUACCAGUGGAUUUUUUCAUCAUCAUAAAUUGCUAUAACCAUAAUGCUGUCAAAAGCACUUAACAGUAGCCCCUCCUCUACCACUAUUUCCCUUAUGAAUAAAUGAAUCUUAGUCUCAGCCCAGUGCUAGGUACACAGAAAGCACAACAAUACUACUUGCCGUUAACUAUUAUAGCAUGAGAUCAGGCAGAAGUGGAGGGCUGAGAGGAGAAAAGGCCCCAAGAUAUUGUGAAAUUAGACAAGCCGAACUAGAUCUGUUUCAGUUCCCUUGGUAAUCACGCAUCACAAAAAACCAAAACCAAACCUUGCCAUCGAGUCGAUUUCAACUCAUAGUGACCCUGUAUAAAGGACAGAGUAGAACUGCCCCAUAGGUUUUCCAGGGAGCAGCUGGUGGAUUCAAACUGCCAACAUUUGGUUAGCAGCUGAGUUCUUAACCACUGUUCCACCAGGGCUCCAAUCACUCACUCAUCACAGAUGUUGAAAAUUCCCACUAUUGAUACUUAAGAGAGGUAGUUAUUUUAAAAAAUAAUGGAAUUGCCCAGUGUCUCUGAAUUUUUCCCACCCUAAAAAAAAAAUCAAAUCAAAUCAAACAGCAUAGUUCUCUAUGAAAUACCAAUGACGCAUACUUUGUAGAAAAAUGGUAGUAUUGCAGAUUACCCAAGUGGUAACAUAACUGUAAUAUAAAAUUUAUUUAAAGUCAUUUUAAAAAAUACUACUGGAAAUACAGGUUUGGAGAAAAGGAAUCCACAACACUGAAUUUUCCUCCAUUUACUUGAAAGGCUCUGGUUUAAAAUAUACCUCAAAGACUUUUAAAAGUAACAGUUUAUCCCAGUGGUUCUCAACUCAAGCGCACCUCACCUGGAGGGCUUGUUAAAACAAGAAUUGCUGGUUCCACUCUAGAGUUCUGAUUGAGUAGGUCUGAGAUGGGACCCCCAAUUCUCCUUUCUACCACUUUUCACCCCCACAUGUCUGUCAGUUUGUCAUACUGUGGGGGCUUGUGUUUUGCUGUGAUCCUGGACGCUAUGCCACUGGUAUUCAGAUACCAGCAGGGUCACCCAUCACCCAUUUCAGCUGAGCUUCCAGACUAAGAUGGACUGGGAAGAAAGACCUGGCCGUCUACUUUGAAAAAGAAUCAUCCAAUGAAAACCUGAUGAAUACCAGCAGAACACUGUCUGAUAAAGUGCUGGAAGAUGAGCCCCCCAGGUUGGAAGGGCACUCAACAGAUGACUGGGGAAGAGCUGCCUCCUCAAAGUAGAGUCGAUCUUAAUGACAUGGAUGGAGUCAAACUUUUGGGACUUUCAUUUGCUGUGGCAUGACUCAGAAUGAGAAGAAACAGCUGAAAACAUUCAUUAAUAAUUGGAACCUGGAAUGUACAAAGUAUGAAUCUAGGAAAAUUGGAAAUUGUCAAAUAUGAGAUGCAAUGCAUAAACAUCGAUACCCUAGGCAUUAGUGAGCUGAAAUGGACUGGUAUUGGCAAUUUUGAAUCAGACAACCAUAUAGUCUACUAUGCUGGGAAUGAAAAAUUGAAGAAAAAUGGUGUUGCAUUCAUGGUCAAAAAGAACAUUUCAAGAUCUAUCCUGAAGUACAACACUGUCAGUAAUAGGAUAAUAUCCACACGCCUACAAAGAAGACCAGUUAAUACAACUAUUAUUCAAAUCUAUGCAUCAACCACUAGGGCCAAAGAUGAAGAAAUAGAAGAUUUUUAUCAGAUGCUACAGUCUGAAAUUGAUCGAACAUGCAAUCAAGAUGCAUUGGUAAUUACUGGGGAUUGGAAUGUGAAAGUUGGAAACAGAAGAAGGAUCAGUAGUUGGAAAAUAUGGCCUUGGUGAUAGAAACAAUGCUGGAGAUCGAAUGAUAGAAUUUGGCAAGACCAACGACUUCUUCAUUGCAAAUACCUUCUUUCACCAACGUAAGCGGUGACUAUACACAUGGACCUCAUCAGAUGGAACACAUAGAAAUCAAAUUGACUACAUCUGUGGAAAGAGACGAUGGGGAAGCUCAAUAUCAUCAGUCAGAACAAGGCCAGGGGCCAACUGUGGAACAGACCAUCAAUUGCUCAUAUGCAAGUUCAAGCAGAAACUGGAGAUAACCAGAGCAAGUCCACGAGAGCCAAAAUAUGCCUUUGAGUACAUCCCACCUGAAUUUAGAAACCAUCAAGAACAGAUUUGAUACACUGAACACUAGUGACCGAAAACCAGACGAGUUGUGGAAUGACAUCAAGCACACCAUACGUGAAGAAAGCAAGAGGUCACUGAAAAGACAGGAAAGAAAGAAAAGACUAAGAUGGAUGUCAGAGGAGACUCGGAAACUUGCUCUCAAACGUCAAGCAGCUAAAGCAAAAGGAAGAAUUGAUGAAGUAAAAGAACUGAACAGAAGAUUUCAAAAGGCAGCUCAAGAAGUAAAGUAUUAUAAUGACAUGUGCAAAGAGCUGGAGAUGAAAAACUAGAAGGGAAGAACAUGCCUGGCGUUUCUCAAGCUGAAAGAACUGAAGAAAAAAUUCAAGCCUCGAGUUGCAAUAAUGAAGGAUUCUAUGGGGAAAAUAUUAAACGACACAGGAAGCAUCAAAAGAAGGUGGAAAGAAUACACAGAGUCAUUAUACCAAAAAGAAUUAGUCAAUGUUCAACCAUUUCAAGAGAUGGCAUAUGAUCAGGAACUGAUGGUACUGAAGGAAGAAGUCCAAGCUGCUCUGAAGGCACUGAAGAAAAACAAGGCUCCAGGAAUUGACGGAAUAUCAACUGAGAUGUUUCAACAAACAGAUGCAGUGCUGGGGGUGCUCACUUGUCUGUGCCAAGAAAUACGGAAGACAGCUUCCUGGCCAACUGACUGGAACAGAUCCAUAUUUAUGCCUAUUCCAGAAAAGGUGAUCCAACCGAAUGUGGAAAUUAUAGAACAAUAUCAUUAAUAUCACACACAAACAAAAUUUUGCUGAAGAUCAUUCAAAAGUGGCUGCAGCAGUAUAUUGACGGGGAGCUGCCAGAAAUUCAGGCCGGUUUCAGAGGAGGACGUAGAACCAGGGAUAUAUCAUUGCUGAUGUCAGAUGGAUCCUGGCUGAAAGCAGAGAAUACCAGAAGGAUGUUUACCUGUGCUUUAUUGACUAUGCAAAGGCAUUCGACUGUGUGGAUCAUAACAAAUUAUGGAUAACAUUGGGAAGAAUGGGAAUUCCAGAACACUUAAUUGUGCUCAUAAGGAAUCUUUACAUAGAUCAAGAGGCAGUUGUUCAGACAGAACAAGGGGAUACUGAUUGGUUUAAAGUCAGGAAAGGUGUGCGUCAGGGUUGUAUUCUUUCACCAUACCUUUUCAAUCUGUAUGCUGAGCAAAUAAUACGAGGAGCUAGACUAUAUGAAGAAGAACAGGGCGUCAGGAUUGGAGGAAGGCUCAUUAACAACCUGCGUUAUGCAGAUGACACAACCUUGCUUGAUGAAAGUGAAAAGGACUUGAAGCACUUACUAAUGAAGAUCAAAGACCACAGCCUUCAGUAUGGAUUGCACCUCAACAUAAAGAAAACAAAAAUCCUCACAACUGGACCAAUGAGCAACAUCAUGAUAAAUGGAGAAAAGAUUGAAGUUGUCAAGGAUUUCAUUUUACUUGGAUCCACAAUCAACAGCCAUGGAAGCAGCAGUCGAGAAAUCAAGAGACACACUGCAUUGGGUAAAUCUGCUGCAGAGGACCUCUCUAAAGUGUUGAAGAGCAAAAGUGUCAGCUUGAAUACUAAGGUGCACCUGACCCAAGCCAUAGUAUUUUCAAAUGCAUCAUAUGCAUGUGAAAGCUGCACAAUGAAUAAGGAAGACUGAAGAAGAACUGAUGCCUUUGAAUUGUGGUGCUGGCAAAGAAUAUUGAAUAUACCAUGGAUUGCCAAAAGAACGAACAAAUCUGUCUUAGAAAAAGUACAACCAGAAUGCUCCUUAGAAGAAGGAUGGCGAGACUGCGUCUUACAGACUUUGGACAUGUUGUCAGGAGGGAUCAGUCCCUGGAGAAAGACAUCAUGCUUGGCAAAGUACAAGGUCAGCAGAAAAGAGGAAGUCCCUCAGGGAGGUGGACUGACACAGUGGCUGCAACAAUGAGCUCAAGCAUAACAACGACUGUAAUGAUGGCGCAGGACUGGGCAGUGUUUCGUUCUGUUGUGCAUAGGGUCGCUAUGAGUCAGAACCGACUCGACGGCACCUGACAACAACAACAAACACUUUUCAGAGGCUGAGGCUCUGAGAACCACUGCUUCAACCUAAGGGCUAAGUUUUACAGUAUGUCUGUGAAGUUCAGUGUAUGUCUGACUUGGACAAAAUCAGGAAGAAGAUUUAUCACAGGGGAGUCUGGCAUUUCACUUUCUUUCAAGGAGUUCCAAGUGGAUAUACACUUGCAUGUGCACAUGCACACACACCAGCCUCCCCACCCGACCUCUUACACACACACAGCCUGAGAAUGCUCUACAACCUGGUGUCUAGCCUUCUUAAAUGUCCUGAAAAUAUCCAAGAAAUGUGUCUGCGCUAGGCUACAGCAUACUGUAAUGUCAACCCUACAUUCACACCCAACAGCCGAAGUAAUGUCCCAUAAAACCAAAACCAAACCCAUUGCUGUCAAAUUGAUUCCAACUCAUAGCAUCCCUAUACCCAAAAAACAAAACCAAACCCAAUGCCUUCGGGUCGAUUCUGACUCAUAGCCACUGUAACCAAAAAAAAAAAAAAAAAACCAGUGCCA